GGCCUUUGGGGUAACAAUUAAAUUCUGUCUCUUGAUUGUUGAUUGUUUUACUUUUAUUCACAGUUAAUUGUUUGAAAUCCAAGAUUAAAAUUAACAAUUAAUCGAUUGAUUUUGAUUAUCUUCUUCUCUCUCUCCUUCUCUUUUCUUCUUCUUAUCGUGACUUUUACUCUUUCCAUUAGAUGGUCGGCCAUUUUUAUUCUUAUUCUUAUUUUUCAUUUUCUCUUUUUAUUUAAACUAUUCUUUUAUCAUCAUUGUGUGUGUUCAUCAUCAUCAUCAUCAUCAUCAUGACUAAUUCAAUUCUAAUUAUAUCAAUAAAUCAAUUUAAUGAACCAGUUAAUAAAUUGGAUUUUCUGAUGAUAAUUGACUUCGAAAACCUAUCACAUGGAAUCCAGAAGAAUAUGUAAACAUAAUGUCAUUUAAAAUGUGCUGGUCAACAAUCAAAUCAACUAAUGGUCAGUUGAUUCAAUUAAGAAUCUGGAUCAUUCUCUCUCUUUCAAGCUAUUACUUAUACUAAACAAAAGCCAUUGACUUAUUAAUAACAUCAUUUCUAGUGACUAAUCAAAUCAAAUCAGUCGAUUUAAUCACAUUUUCUCAUCUUAAUUCGGUCACGAUGAUUACAAGUGUCAAGUGUAUUAUCUCAACUGUCAAUUUCGAUUGGCCGAUAAUUUGGUUCUUUUCUCUUUCAACUGACUAAUCCUGAUAAUCCACCAAGAGAGAGAGAGAGAGAGAGAGAGAGAGAGAAGAUCAUCUAAGCAUCAGUAAUAAUUAAUCUUUAAAUCAAAUAUGAAUUUGAUAAAACGAACAUUUUUUUAUGAGAAAUCAAAUGAAAAAGGUAACUCACUUAAAAGACUUAAGGAAACAAGAGAUUUACCAGUUUAAUCAAGUAAAAAGGAUUAUCAACAAUUUUUUUAUUCUUAAUCAUCACUUAACCUUUUACUUUUUAUAUUCUGGUCAAGCUCAAGUUUUCGCUGAUUAUCAUGUUCAUGUCAUCUUGAAAAGCGAAAGUGAAUUUAUCUCUUCCGCGACCCAGUUGACAAACAGAAGCUCAGGAUGAUUAACUUACAAUUAGAUCACUAAUUAUGAUUAAGCUUUUCAAGAAUCAAGGUAAAUGAGAUGCUCUUGGUUCCCUUGUUAUCAUAUACAAUCAAUCGCGUUAUCCCAUCAUCGCCAAAACGAUGACCAUCAUCUUCAUUUAAUUAACUAAUCAUUUGCUUGGAAACACAUCACAUCAUCACCAUUAUCAUUAGUGAACAACAAAUCAAAUUGUUUACAUACAAACUGACCAGUAAAGGUCAGAGAGAAAUGUUAUUUUUCCAAUCCCACGUUUCACUUUCUUUCCCAUUGACAAUUGUAUCUCAUGAAUAAGGGGAAACUGUUGUUUACCAAAUUAUUUUAAUUGUUUGGAUUUUUCUGGUUGAUUUUGGUUAUGGUUUAUAAUUGUUAUGGUCAAAACAGAGCGAAAAUAACGGUAAAUGAUGGAGAGAACUAAUGAAAGAACAAAAAAAAAGUUCGAAACUAAUUAAUUUGCUAUGGUUAUCAUUGGGAACCGAAGGUACAAAGUGACGAAGAAUUGGAAAAUUGAAAUCGAAAACAAGUCAUGAGAAUCAUUCUCAUUAUCUUUUCAAUAGAAAAGUUUUAGUUGUAUUAGGUGACCUUAACUGACCUAAACACUCAUAUACAUCUACACUUACCGAUGGACAGUAAUAGAAGUUAAAUUAAAAGAAAAUCUCAUUUUCUAUCCAAUCAAUUGGUUUUAUAUUUAAACACGUAUCAAACUCAUCAUGGUUGAUUCAGAAACUAAUCAACACACAAACACACAUACACACAAUCACCAAACAUUGGCACUGGUGGUACAACUUUUGGUGUCAUUGAUUACUACCUUUUCCCCUGCAAUUGACCUCAACUGUGAAAAUAAUUUUUCACCAAACAUUACCCGCUGAGGGUAGAGGUUAUUUUUUGAUACCUUUUAAAAAUACACAGCAGUGGUUAAUGUAUUAUACUGAAUGAUACUUAUCACAAGAUGCUACUAUAACCAGAAUAGGCAGAUGAAGUGAAAAAGAUGAGGAUGAUUAUUACUCAAAGAAGAGUAGAGAUGAUGAGGAUGAUGAUGAUAAAGAUAAAAGAUAUCAAAUAUAUUUAUCAUCGAUUUGUAUCAACCAGAAUCAUCUGAAUUUGGGUCAGUCUGCAAAAUGAUUAUCAAUCGAGAAUAAUUAUUGAUUAUCUUUACUGUCCGAUUGGUUAGACUGAUAUAAUUAUGAGAGAGAAAAGGGAGAGAGAGAGAGAGAGACGACCGAUUGACAGGUAAUCUUAAAAGUUGUCAUCAUCAUCAUCAUCAUCAUCAUCAUAAUGAUUAUUGGGGAUUAUUAUUACCAUGAUUAAUAUGCUAACACUAUCAAUAUUUUCAUCAUGAUUUGUAUUUUUGCAAAUGUUGCUGCUGGUAGUAAGUAGCCAAAUAAUAAUAACUUAUUUACUUGGACAUGAUUAUAUACAGUUAAUAAUAGCAUCAAUUGAUAAGUUAUUUGCUGCCAGUAUUGAGAAACGCCUUCUCAUUAUUAUCUUCAUCAUCAUCAUCGUCAUCAUCAUGUUACUAUUUGUCCAGUUAUGGGAUAAUUUAUCUCGCAGGAUCAUCAACAAAGUUUCAAAAGAAAAGAUAAUUUAAAAGUCAACAAUUAUCUAAAACUGAUUGUCAUCAACUCAACAUUCAAUUGGUAACGUUAAGAUUUAUCUCAAUCUCAUUACAUUGUCGAUAAUCAUAAUUAUCUUCAUCAGCAUCAUUAUUUUAACAGGAGAGCGAAAAAAAUUUAGGUUUCAUCAACAUUUGAUUGUGUUACAAAAUUUGACCUGAGUUUUCAAUUAUUUCAUCAGCACUUCGUGAAAACUAUUAAUUUACAGCUUCAAGUUAAUACGUUGUCAUGAAUAUGUGAACAAUUUACUCAAAAACAUCAUGCUCAUCAAAAUCAUUCUGACUAUUAUCUUGAUAAUCAUCAUUAUCAUCAACAUUUAUAAUCAUAAAUGAGUAAAUUUUCAAUUGGACAAAUCAAAAUUUAACAGCUAAACAUGAAAUUAAUCAGUAACCAUUAAUCAAUAACAUGAUGAAUGAUAGAGAGAGAGAGAGACCACACCAAUGAUAUUCAUGAAUGAGAGAGAGAGAGAAAGAGAUGAAAAUUCAAGCAAAAAAAAUGAUACAAAGAAACAAAGUUACAAUGAUUAAGGAAAAUUGUGACCUCGCAAUUGAUUUCAAUUAACGAUCAAUAUUUAAUCAAAAUCUAACGAAAGGAUAACAUUUCAAGUACUAAUAACCAAUCAUGGUCGAGGUCAUCGUCUUCAAUAUCAUCAUAAUACAAAAGGAAGAUAAUUAUUCUCAUCAUCAUCAUCAACAUCAUCAAUUUCAUCAGGAAUCCAACAAAUAGAUGAAAAAAAAAAUUCAUCAAAAAAAAGUAAAUCAGAGUAACUGUAAAUAACAGGUAACCUGAAAAAAAUUAUUCACAUCCAACUAAUCAAAUGUCAAACCCGAAUUCAUGAUGAUGACCCUUGAAAAGAGAGAGAGAGAGAGAUGAAGAUGAUGAAGAUGAACCACCAGAAUCAAUCCACUAAUUGCAUUGAAGAGGGAGAAUGAUUAAAACAAUCGCUUAAAUCAAAUUUGAUAUAAGGUUAAAUUGUUAACAAGGAUAAUGUUAAUCAAGCUCAUUCUUUUAAUUUGUUGAAGAAAAAUCAAAAAAUUAACAAACAUUACCGUUAAUAUGUUAAUUGUUAAUCAUAUUGAGAGGAAAAUAUCAGCACGAUUGUAAUAAUAAUAUUAAUUGUAAUGUAAAAGUUAUGCCAAUGUUUUUCAAUAUCUAACCAACAGGCAUCCGUUGCAAAUGCUGUUGAUUAUAAUUAUGAUGAUGGUGUUGAUGAUGAUCAUCUUCAUAAUGAUCAUCAUUUCCAUACAGAACAACAAUUUGACCUGACGGCCUCUCUCUCACUCUUCCCGCGCCCAUUAUUAAAUCAAAAGGCUUGAUAACUUGACCUAAUUGUGGCAAAUGAAUGGUAAAGGUAAUUGAAUCAAUCAUGAUCAUCAUGAUGUUGUGUUAAUGAUAAUGUUAAUUAACAUCGUUACUGUGUUAAUUAGUUAAUCUUCAUAAUAAUAAUAGAUGGACAGUGACAUCUUACAAUAACAAUUUAAGAAAAAAAAAUUCAACAAAACAGUUAAUUUCUUGUAAUCAUUUCUCUUAAUUGUUAUUACCCUUGAAAAGUUGAUCAAUGGUAAUAAUUUGCUAUCUUUUUUAGAUCUACUAAGAAUCAAAUCAACAAGGAAACGAAAUGUCUUCAAAUAAUUUGUUGAUUGUGACAAAACUAAUUACAAUCAUUUGGUACAAAUUGAUUAUCAAGAGGAAGUUAAGUUGAACGUUGUAACAAUUAAAAUACAUUCACGUAUUAGCGAUGAUGAUUUUUGUAAAAAUAAUUGUAAAUGUAACAUUUUCAUAAAUGAAUAACCAUCAACAAUUUACUAAUUGUAACGAUAUUAUUUGAAAAUGAGUAAAUAUUGAAAGGAAAAGUUUGUCAACAUGGAAACGUCAAUGAAACUUGAAAUCGUUGCGUGAUUUGGAUUCAUAUUACAUGGAUCAUGUUGAUUGUUGAUCAUGAUCAUGAUUCGGAUCAAUUAGGAAGAUGACAAUGAUCAUCAUGAUGAUAAAUAAACACAAUUAUGUAUGUGUAUAAAGGCUUGGCGAUAUAAUCGUUGACAGAAUGACAAAAUCGUUAGUACAUUUUAACUUGUAUUAAUGCCAACUUGAAACUCGAUACCGGAAAACAUGUAACUGAGUAACUUUGGAAUUACCUUUUUUCUUUAUCAUCAUUAUCAUCCUCAUCAUCAUCAUUAUUUGGUCCAAUUAUAAGUCUACAUCUUUAACCAUCAUCUUCACUAUUUAUCACUUACUUUUUAAACUGUUUUUAAUAAUUUUUUUCUUCUAUUCUUUUUACAGGUAAAUUCAUUCUUCCUGAAACUUGGAAAUUACUCUUAACUUUAUGACGAUAAAAACAGUAAAGAAAGAGGAAGAAGAUAAACUUUUUCUCUUGUCAUCUCUUUCUUUCUUUCUUUCUUUCUUCCUCUCUUCAUCUUUUCAGCUGAAGAGAUAGUUUCAAAUGUUCAUUAGAUUUGAUUGCUCACAAUUGAAACGCGUGGUUUGGCUUAACACGCUCAUCGAUUCUUAAUCAUCAUCAUUACCGGGAAGUACUGAUCUGGAUGAAGAUGAUUAUGAUUGUUGAAUAACGGAGAGUUUGAUAAUCAACUAGAAAUUAGUUAAUUUGUCCUUGUACAAAUAACCACAAUCAACUUUUACUGUCAAUAUUUUAAUCAAACUGAUUGUAAUUAACGUUUUCAUCUGUAAAUCUAAUUGAUAGUUUGUUUCAAUAUCUCAAUCGACAAUUA